GGGGGUUUAGCUCAGUUGGGAGAGCGUCACGCUGGCAGCGUGAAUGUCAGGGGUUCGAAUCCCCUAACCUCCACCA
rnacentral:tRNA from 1 species